rnacentral:tRNA from 1 species
UGUAGCUCAGCAGUAGAGUGCUUGCCUAGCAUGCAUGAGGCCCUAGGUUCAAUCCCCAGCA